rnacentral:misc_RNA from 1 species
GACAUCUGGAAAGAGACCGGUCGGGCAAGCGCCUGGUGCGGGUCCGCCGACGGGAUAAUGCUCUCAGGCGCAGCGACAGAUGGGGCUCG